UCUCCGUAGGUGAACCUGCGGAGGGAUCAUUACAGAGUUCAUGCCCUAACGGGUAGAUCUCCCACCCUAUGUUAUCAUCACUUUGUUGCUCUGGCGGGCCGUCAGGCCUCGGCUUGGCUACCGGCUCUCGCUGGUAAGCGCCCGCCAGAGAACCCCAAACCCUGAAUAUCAGUGUCGUCUGAGUACUAUAUAAUAGUUAAAACUUUCAACAACGGAUCUCUUGGUUCUG
rnacentral:misc_RNA from 1 species